rnacentral:rRNA from 1 species
CUGGUUGAUCCUGCCGGACCUGACUGCUAUCGGAUUGAUACUAAGCCAUGCGAGUCAUUGUAGCAAUACAAGGCAGACGGCUCAGUAACGCGUAGUCAAUCUACCCUAUGGACGGGAAUAAUCUCGGGAAACUGAGAAUAAUACCCGAUAGAACAUUAUGCCUGGAAUGGUUUAUGUUUUAAAUGAUUUAUCGCCGUAGGAUGGGACUGCGGCCUAUCAGUUUGUUGGUGAGGUAAUGGCCCACCAAGACUAUUACAGGUACGGGCUCUGAGAGGAGUGGCCCGGAGAUGGGUACUGAGACACGGACCCAGGCCCUAUGGGGCGCAGCAGGCGAGAAAACUUUGCAAUGUGCGAAAGCACGACAAGGUUAAUCCGAGUGGUUUCUGCUAAAGAAACCUUUUGUUAGUCCUAGAAACACUAGUGAAUAAGGGGUGGGCAAGUUCUGGUGUCAGCCGCCGCGGUAAAACCAGCACCUCAAGUGGUCAGGAUGAUUAUUGGGCCUAAAGCAUCCGUAGCUCGUUUUGUAAGUUUUCGGUUAAAUCCAUGCGCUUAACGUAUGGGCUGCCGGGAAUACUGCAUAACUAGGAAGUGGGAGAGGUAGACGGUACUCGGUAGGAAGGGGUAAAAUCCUUUGAUCUAUUGAUGACCACCUGUGGCGAAGGCGGUCUACCAGAACACGUUCGACGGUGAGGGAUGAAAGCUGGGGGAGCAAACCGGAUUAGAUACCCGGGUAGUCCCAGCUGUAAACUAUGCAAACUCAGUGAUGCAUUGGCUUGUGGCCAAUGCAGUGCUGCAGGGAAGCCGUUAAGUUUGCCGCCUGGGAAGUACGUACGCAAGUAUGAAACUUAAAGGAAUUGGCGGGGGAGCACCACAAGGGGUGAAGCCUGCGGUUCAAUUGGAGUCAACGCCGGA